rnacentral:rRNA from 1 species
UACAGAGGUGGCAAGCGUUGUUCGGAAUUACUGGGCGUAAAGGGCGCGUAGGCGGUCGGGCAAGUCCUGUGUGAAAUCCCUCGGCUCAACUGAGGAACUGCACGGGAAACUGCCUGACUUGAGUUCGGGAGAGGGAAGCGGAAUUCCGGGUGUAGCGGUGAAAUGCGUAGAUAUCCGGAGGAACACCGGUGGCGAAGGCGGCUUCCUGGACCGACACUGACGCUGGGGCGCGAAAGCUAGGGGAGCAAACGGG